ACUCCUAAAACCCAACCAAAAUAACAUUAAACCUACCAAAUCACUUUCUUACAAAACCCAAUUCAAACAUUAAAUCAACAAAAAUCAUUAAACUUUAUUUAUGCCUUGAAACUUAAAAAUAUUCUGACCAAAAACUUCUUAAAACAUAAAAAAUAAGGAUUAAAACUUGCUAGGGGUAAAAUUGAUUGAAAAUUUCCAGAUUUGGGCCACAAUAGGAUUACAUAAAAUUUGAGGGACCAAACUGCAAUUUUUAAAACAAUAACAUGCAGCCUUUGAAGCUUUCUUUCUUCUGCAACUCCAGAAGCUUAUGCAAUCCCAGAAAUUUCUACCCAAAAGCAAAACCCAUCGAUUUAUCCACCAAAAAUUCAACACCAAGACUUCAACCUCAUUUCUUAACAAAAUCAAAUGACAAAACACUCCAUUGGCAAGAUUAAAGCAAUAGAGACAAACAAAAAGCACAGAAAACAGCAAGAAAAUGCAAGCAACAGCAGCAACAAAGAAAUGUGAGAAUGCAGCCCAGCAACGACUGAAAGUGGAAGGAACUAAGACAUCAGUUUAGGAGGGUACCUGAGGAAGCUUUUAGGACCGGGUUUGAGCGAGCAAGACGCAGUGGAAGUAGAUCUGAUGAAGUUCCACGCGAGGUUACGGGUUGAGCCAGGUAUGUUGAAGUAGCGACUUUGGAUCCGGAUUCGAAGGACUUCCAGUCAUUUUCUCCACCAAGUUUCUGAACAAAAAUCGCUCCCCUCACUUCGCAGAUUUAGUAGAAAUCGAAAGUUUCUUAAACGGAGCUAAAAUGGAGGAGAUAUUUGAGUCAAAAGAUGG
rnacentral:lncRNA from 1 species